GACGGAGGGGGCUAGCGUUGUUCGGAAUUACUGGGCGUAAAGGGCGCGUAGGCGGAUUAGUAAGUUGGGAGUGAAAGCCCGGGGCUUAACCUCGGAACUGCUUUCAAAACUGCUAGUCUUGAGUGAAGUAGGGGAUGAUGGAAUUCCUAGUGUAGAGGUGAAAUUCUUAGAUAUUAGGAGGAACACCGGUGGCGAAGGCGGUCAUCCGGACUUCAACUGACGCUGAGGCGCGAAAGCGUGGGGAGCAAACAGG
rnacentral:rRNA from 1 species